CCUACGGGAGGCUGCAGUGAGGAAUAUUGGUCAAUGGGCGAGAGCCUGAACCAGCCAUGUCGCGUGAGGGAGUACUGCCCUAUGGGUUGUAAACCUCUUUUGUCGGGGAGCAAAAGCCGGACGUGUCCGGCUGUGAGAGUAACCGAAGAAACAGCAUCGGCUAACUCCGUGCCAGCAGCCGCGGUCAGACGGAGGAUGCGAGGGUUAUCCGGAUUUAUUGGGUUUAAAGGGUCCGCAGGCGGAUUUUGAGGUCGACGGUCAAUUCGUGGGCGUAAACCGCAUCCAGCCGUUGAUACUGGGGAUCUAGAGUGUGCGAGAGGUAUGCGGAAUGCGUGGUGUAGCGGUGAAAUGCAUAGAGA
rnacentral:rRNA from 1 species